rnacentral:sRNA from 1 species
GAUCUAAUGUGUAUGAUUGAGUAUAAGAACUAGAACCGCAACCAGAUCUUGAAAGAUUAAAAGAUUAAGUAGUGAUUCCUUG